rnacentral:rRNA from 1 species
UUUAUUGAGAGUUUGAUCCUGGCUCAGGAUGAACGCUGGCGGCGUGCCUAACACAUGCAAGUCGAACGAAUCUCUUCGGAGAAGAGUGGCGGACGGGUGAGUAACGCGUGGGUAACCUACCCUGUACACACGGAUAACAUAUCGAAAGGUAUGCUAAUACGGGAUAAAGUAUGAGAUUGACAUCUAUUUCAUACCAAAGGUCAGCCGGUACAGGAUGGACCCGCGUCUGAUUAGCUAGUUGGUGAGAUAACAGCCCACCAAGGCAACGAUCAGUAGCCGACCUGAGAGGGUGAUCGGCCACAUUGGAACUGAGACACGGUCCAAACUCCUACGGGAGGCAGCAGUGGGGAAUAUUGCACAAUGGGCGAAA